rnacentral:rRNA from 1 species
GAUGAACGCUGGCGGUAUGCUUAACACAUGCAAGUCGAACGGACUCUUCGGAGUUAGUGGCGGACGGGUGAGUAACGCGUGAGAAUCUGGCUUUGGGUUCGGGACAACCACUGGAAACGGUGGCUAAUACCGGAUGUGCCGAGAGGUAAAAGAGAAAUUGCCUGAAGAUGAGCUCGCGUCUGAUUAGCUAGUUGGUGAGGUAAAGGCUCACCAAGGCAGCGAUCAGUAGCUGGUCUGAGAGGAUGACCAGCCACACUGGGACUGAGACACGGCCCAGACUCCUACGGGAGGCAGCAGUGGGAAAUUUUCCGCAAUGGGCGACAGCCUGACGGAGCAAUACCGCGUGAGGGAAGAAGGCUCUUGGGUUGUAAACCUCUUUUCUUAGGGAAGAACAAAAUGACGGUACCUAAGGAAUCAGCAUCGGCUAACUCCGUG